AUUGAACGCUGGCGGCAUGCCUAACACAUGCAAGUCGAACGGUAACAGGAAGCAGCUUGCUGAUUUGCUGACGAGUGGCGGACGGGUGAGUAAUGUCUGGGAAACUGCCCGAUGGAGGGGGAUAACUACUGAAAACGGUAGCUAAUACCGCAUAACGUCUCAAGACCAAAGAGGGUGACAUUAGGGCCUCUGUCCAUCGGAGAUGCUCAGAUGGGAUUAGCUAGUAGGUGGGGUAACGGCUCCCCGAGUCGACGAUCCUAGCUGGUCUGCGAGGAUGACCAGCCACACUGGAGCUGAGACACGGUCCAGACUCCUACGGGAGGGAGCAGUGGGGAAUAUUGGACAAUGGGCGCAAGCCUGAUGCAGCCAUGCCGCGUGUAUGAAGAAGGCCUUCGGGUUGUAAAGUACUUUCAGCGGGGAGGAAGGGAGUAAAGUUAAUACCUUUGCUCAUUGACGUUACCCGCAGAAGAAGCACCGGCUAACUCCGUG
rnacentral:rRNA from 1 species